rnacentral:rRNA from 1 species
UACGGAGGAUGCAAGCGUUAUCCGGAAUGAUUGGGCGUAAAGAGUCCGUAGGUGGUUAUUCAAGUCGAUUGUUAAAGAGCGGGGCUUAACCCCGUAGAAGCAGUGGAAACUGAAUAACUAGAGAGAGGUAGGGGUAGAGGGAAUUCCCGGUGUAGCGGUGAAAUGCGUAGAGAUCGGGAAGAACACCAGUGGCGAAAGCGCUCUACUGGGCCUCAUCUGACACUGAGGGACGAAAGCUAGGGGAGCGAAAGGG